AGAUCGCCAGAUCGUUGAGCUGCAUUGGCGGGAUUUCGCCGUCUUCGUUUCUCUUUCUUCGCGGACGAACACGCGCUGGGGCUGCAGGCUUGCAGAUCCCUGGUCCUUGACUGGAUAUGCGUUAGGGGCUUGUAGCUCAGUUGGUUAGAGCGCGCGCUUGAUAAGCGUGAGGUCGGAAGUUCAAGUCUUCCCAGGCCCACCACUUUCAUCGAGUGUGCAUUCGUCUUCUGGUUACGGGGCCAUAGCUCAGCUGGGAGAGCGCGUGCUUUGCAAGCAUGAGGUCGUCGGUUCGAUCCCGUCUGGCUCCACCAGAUGGUUUGAUCACCGAGAUCUUGUACCGUCGUCCGCGAAACAUCACUUCGCACUUGCUAGUCCGGAUGGACAGUAAGCUGCGUGAUUUCUGACAUCGUAAAGAGGAGAUCGAUCCGAGUUGGAUCGUGCGGAGAAUAUCUGCGCGAUACUUCAUUAUCUCCGGAUCAUUUCGGCGCUCGCGCGCCUUUCAGUGUAGCUCACAAGGCUGCGGCUGAGAGACGGGCGAGUUGUGAAUGAUCCUUUUAGCGAAGCUUGACCGCCUCGCUAUCGGAACGAUCUUACGAAGCAAGCUGGUCUUUCUAGUCAAUGUCCGGCUGCAGAUAGCGUUCAUCGAGGGCGCGUGCCGCAAGGUAAUUCUGCAGACAACAUUCUGCCGAGUGUGUGGACAUUGAUAAUGAGAGCAAUCAAGUGCCUUAAGGGUGUUCGGUGGAUGCCUUGGCGC
rnacentral:tRNA from 1 species